UCCGAGUUGACCCCGGCAGUCUCCUGCGAGUCCCCGCCAUUACGCGCUGGCAACACAGGACAAGGGUUGCGCUCGUUGCGGGACUUAACCCAACAUCUCACGACACGAGCUGACGACAGCCAUGCACCACCUGUGAUCCUGCCCGUGAGGGAAGCCCUGUUUCCACGGCUUCACCCCGCAUGUCAAGCCCUGGUAAGGUUCUUCGCGUCGCGUCGAAUUGAACCACAUGCUCCGCUGCUUGUGCGGGUCCCCGUCAAUUCCUUUGAGUUUUAGCCUUGCGGCCGUACUCCCCAGGCGGGGCACUUAAUGCGUUAGCUUCGGCACCGGAGGAGUCGACACCUCCGACACCUAGUGCCCAUCGUUUACGGCGUGGACUAC
rnacentral:misc_RNA from 1 species